UCCAGACUCCUACGGGAGGCAGCAGUGGGGAAUAUUGGGCAAUGGGCGCAAGCCUGACCCAGCAACGCCGCGUGAAGGAAGAAGGCUUUCGGGUUGUAAACUUCUUUUCUGGGGGACGAUAAUGACGGUACCUGUCAAGAAAGCCACGGCUAACUACGUGCCAGCAGCCGCGGUAAUACGUAGGUGGCGAGCGUUGUCCGGAAUUACUGGGUGUAAAGGGAGUGUAGGCGGGAAGGCAAGUCAGAAGUGAAAAUUAUGGGCUCAACCCAUAACCUGCUUUUGAAACUGUUUUUCUUGAGUGAAGCAGAGGCAAGCGGAAUUCCUAGUGUAGCGGUGAAAUGCGUAGAUAUUAGGAGGAACACCAGUGGCGAAGGCGGCUUGCUGGGCUUUUACUGACGCUGAGGCUCGAAAGCGUGGGGAGCAAACAGGAUUAGAUACCCUGGUAA
rnacentral:rRNA from 1 species